UGUGCAUGUUUAUGCAUGCACGUGAACCUGCACAUACACAUGCACAUACACACAUAUGAAUCCACAUAUAU
rnacentral:miRNA from 1 species